GACGAACGCUGGCGGCGUGCCUAAUACAUGCAAGUCGAACGCAGUGGGGACGGGUGAGUAACACGUGGGUAACCUACCAUCAGAGGGGAUAACGCUUGGAAACAGGUUCUAAACUGAUACUGAUGGAUGGACCCGCGGUUCAUUAGCUAGUGGGUGAGGUAACGGCUCACCAAUGCCACGAUGCAUAGACGACCUGAGAGGGGGAUCGGCCACACUGGGACUGAGACACGUCCCAGACCCCUACGGGAGGCAGCAGUAGGGAACCUCCGGCAAUGGACGAAAGUCGGACCGAGCAACGCCGCGUGAGUGAAGAAGGUUUUCGGAUCGUAAACCUCUGUUGUUAGAGAAGCGGUAUCUAACCAGAAAGCCACGGCUAACUACGUGCCAGCAGCCGCGGUAAUUC
rnacentral:rRNA from 1 species